UUGGGGCCAGCCAGGAGGUGUGGCACCAGGGGGAGGUGACGACGGGUGCCAGGAAGAAGAAAGAGGAGGAGAGAGAAGAAGGAAGGAGGAAGGAGGAAGAAGAAAGAGAAAGAAAGAAGAAGGAAAAAGAAAAGGAAAAAGGGGGGAAGGAAAAAGAGAAAGAAAAGAGAGGGACCGACGGCGAUUGCGGCACGCAGUCGGAGCAUGCGCACGACGGUCUGACGACGGCACGCGGCGAGAUUUACGGGCACAGACAAAAGAUGGGUGGGGGUCGGCAUGGGUGUCGGGACGGCGAAAUUGUCGGGGAGAUUUCCGAUUUCCGGGAGCUCAACGGUAAAAAGAUUUUGAAGACGGUUUUUAACGGGUGAUUUUAGUUGGUGAUUUCUGCGGAUGUUACAAACCUACCCCACUUAAAUUGAAUCUCGUCCUCGAGAUCCGACUGAGUCCUGAAGAGAUGGGGAAAUUCUUU
rnacentral:lncRNA from 1 species